UACAGAGGUCUCGAGCGUUGUUCGGAUUCACUGGGCGUAAAGGGUGCGUAGGCGGUCGGGUAAGUCUGAUGUGAAAUCUCACAGCUUAACUGUGAAACUGCAUUGGAUACUAUUCGGCUUGAGAGUUGGAGGGGGGACUGGAAUUCUUGGUGUAGCAGUGAAAUGCGUAGAUAUCAAGAGGAACACCAGUGGCGAAGGCGAGUCCCUGGACAACUUCUGACGCUGAGGCACGAAAGCUAGGGGAGCAAACAGG
rnacentral:rRNA from 1 species